rnacentral:rRNA from 1 species
UACGGGGGGAACGAGCGUUGUUCGGAUUUACUGGGUGUAAAGGGCACGCAGGCGGGAAGACAAGUCUGAUGUGCAAACCCGGGGCUUAACCGCGGGCCUGCAUUGGAAACUGUUUUUCUUGAGUACGAGAGAGGAUGGCGGAAUUCCUGGUGUAGCGGUGAAAUGCGUAGAUAUCAGGAAGAACACCGGUGGCGAAGGCGGCCAUCUGGCUCGAUACUGACGCUCAGGUGCGAAGGCUAGGGGAGCAAACAGG